rnacentral:lncRNA from 1 species
ACCUCUUAAGCUUGCUCCAAUGGUGAGAGAGGAAGAAGAAGAUGACCAAGCCCUUCUCUAGCUUGCUUCUCCUUCUUCUCCAUCUUCUUCUCCUUCCUUUCCUUCUUCUCCUUCUUUUCCUUCUUCUCCUUCCUUUCUUUCAAGAAAGAGGGAGAGAGAGCUUAGAGAGAGAGAGAGAGAGAGGGUGUGUGUUUGGGUGAGAAAUGAGGGAGGG